rnacentral:rRNA from 1 species
CCUACGGGAGGCAGCAGUGGGGGAUAUUGCACAAUGGGGGAAACCCUGAUGCAGCGACGCCGCGUGGGUGAAGAAGCGCCUCGGCGCGUAAAGCCCUGUCAGCAGGGAAGAAAAUGACGGUACCUGAAGAAGAAGCCCCGGCUAACUACGUGCCCGCCGCCGCGGUAAUACGUAGGGGGCAAGCGUUAUCCGGAUUUACUGGGUGUAAAGGGGGCGCAGACGGCGAUGCAAGCCAGGAGUGAAAGCCCGGGGCCCAACCCCGGGACUGCUCUUGGAACUGCGUGGCUAGAGUGCAGGAGGGGCAGGCGGAAUUCCUGGUGUAGCGGUGAAAUGCGUAGAUAUCAGGAGGAACACCGGUGGCGAAGGCGGCCUGCUGGACUGCAACUGACGUUGAGGCCCGAAAGCGUGGGGAGCAAACAGGAUUAGAUACCCCAGUAGUC